UCUUUCCCAAGCACCAGCAAGCGAGAAGAUGAAGAUACUAUGGCUGAAUUACAGUGUCUCAACACUCCUCGACGAACCGGUAAACGAAAACACGACGGAAUGUUUCCACAUCUUACAUCUAACCAACUGUUUUUGUUUUGCGAAGUGCUGGAGAACUCGUAUAAGUUUGCUAAAGGCUUCAAUUUUAACAGCAAGCUGAGGACGGCGCUUUGGAAAGCUGGUAAACGCUUCAUUAAUAUAUUGUACCAUUUGACACGAGCGACACAUUUUUGUACAAUUUCUAUUCGAAUUGGAAAUUAAUACACGAGUAAAAACAUCACAUUCAAAA